rnacentral:lncRNA from 1 species
UGAAAAACCCAGUUUGCUCUCCAGAAGCCAGUUCUCUGUGCCUGCUUCUGGUAAGACAUGAGAAGCACAAAGGGAAACAUUUGUUCAAGAUUAAAUUAUUGACGAAGAGAAUAGUAAGGGAGAAGCUGGCUGUGGCCAGGCUGCAGAGAGAAGUUGCCCAAAGGACAAGCCAAGGGGCCAUGGUGAGUUUUAGCUCUUCUCCCGCCCUUUGACCUCCCGUCCUGAGAGCUCUGGCUCCAAAAGCAUUCAGCACCAGCAAGCAUGUCGAAGCCAAAUAUUUACAUGUAGUCAACUCCAUGAUCGUAC